rnacentral:rRNA from 1 species
GUAGGUGGCAAGCGUUGUCCGGAAUUAUUGGGCGUAAAGCGCGCGCAGGUGGUUCUUUAAGUCUGAUGUGAAAGCCCCCGGCUCAGCCGGGGAGGGUCAUUGGAAACUGGGGAACUUGAGUGCAGGAGAGGAAAGUGGAAUUCCACGUGUAGCGGUGAAAUGCGUAGAUAUGUGGAGGAACACCAGUGGCGAAGGCGACUUUCUGGCCUGUAACUGACACUGAGGCGCGAAAGCGUGGGGAGCAAACAGGGAUUAGAUACCCUGGUAGUCCACGCCGUAAACGAUGAGUGCUAAGUGUUGGGGGGGGUUUCCGCCCCCUCAGUGCUGCAGCUAACGCAUUAAGCACUCCGCCUGGGAGUACGGUCGCAAGACUG